rnacentral:tRNA from 1 species
GGGUCGGUAUACCGUAACUGGUAGCGGCGCGGACUGUAAAUCCGUUGCGCUUCGGCGCUCUGUAGGUUCAAGUCCUACCCGGCCCACCA